rnacentral:ncRNA from 1 species
GAGAGCCGGAUGUCGCGAGAGUGACAAGUCCGGUUCGGAGAGGCGGGCCGGGGAAACGGGCUGGCCGCAAGGCCAGCACCGCGCCCCGGUCCGACCUCUGC